rnacentral:rRNA from 1 species
CGGGGUGCAGCAGGCGCGAAAACUUUACACUGUUGGCAACGGCGAUAAGGGAACCUCGAGUGCCAGGUUACAAAUCUGGCUGUCGUGAUGCCUAAAAAGCAUUGCAUAGCAAGGGCCGGGCAAGACCGGUGCCAGCCGCCGCGGUAACACCGGCGGCUCGAGUGGUAACCGUUAUUAUUGGGUCUAAAGGGUCUGUAGCCGGCCGGGUAAGUCUCUUGGGAAAUCUGGCAGCUUAACUGUCAGGCUUUCAGGAGAUACUGCCUGGCUCGAGGCCGGGAGAGGUGAGAGGUACUUCAGGGGUAGGGGUGAAAUCUUGUAAUCCUUGAAGGACCACCAGUGGCGAAGGCGUCUCACCAGAACGGACCUGACGGCAAGGGACGAAAGCUAGGGGCACGAACCGGAUUAGAUACCCGGGUAGUCCUAGCCGUAAACGAUACUCGCUAGGUGUCGGCCACGGUGCGACCGUGGUCGGUGCCGUAGGGAAGCCGUGAAGCGAGCCACCUGGGAAGUACGGCCGCAAGGCUGAAACUUAAAGGAAUUGGCGGGGGAGCAC